CUGGGGGUAUAGGUUCAAGGUAGAGCACUUGCCUAGCAUGUAUAAGGUCCUGAGUUUGAUCCCUAGCAUUGGAAAAAAGAAAAACAGUAAUUUUUAAAGUUGCCAUAGAAAUGUCUUAGUAAGUUCAAGAUGCUGUAACAAAGUGCCUCUGGGCGGCUUAUUGUAUACAACAGAAACUUAACAGCUUCACAGUUCUAGAGGCUGGAAGUGUGAGACAGAGUGCCACAUGGUCAGGUUCUGGUGAAGCCAUCUUCCAGGGUGCAGUCUGCCCUCUUCUCUUGGUAUCCUGGCAGUGGAAAGGGAGGGAGAGAGCCGUCUACCCUCAUGACCUAGUCAUUUCCCAAAGUCCCCAUCUUCUAACACCAUCACAUUGAGGGUCAGGAUUUCAAUAUUUGAAUUGAAGAGGGACGAAAAUAUUUAAUCCAUUGCAAGAAAUAAAGGCAAAUUUCAGUCUUUGGAGGAAAGGAUAAGAAUGACAUAGCAGAGCAAGAAGAACCUUGUUGUUUUAUCAUUGCUUUAUUUCUCAUCACAGGGAGGAGAAGGGUAAGGGACCGCAAGAGACUUGGGCUUCAAUCUGACCAUUAUUUGUAGUUCCUGGUCCACAACUUCUACCUUCGCAACUUUGGCCAAGGCACUUGACCAUUCUCUGUGAAGUCUCAUCAAACAAUGAGAAAUUUUCUUAGGAUCAAAGGACUUACUAGACAGAUGGAAAAGUGAUCUCUAGUCUCAGGCUUUUCUUAUUGACCUGGGUCAGUGUUUUCUGGAAGUUGCUGGGUCUGAUCUAGGAAACCCCUUCUCCAAGUUUUUCGGCAGACACAUAUCUUUGUUUAUAUGUGGUGCUGAGGAUCGAACCUGGGCCAC